AAUGAACGUUGGCGGCGUGGAUUAGGCAUGCAAGUCGAGCGCGAACCCCGCAAGGGGUGAAAGCGGCGAAAGGGAGAGUAACGCGUGGGUAUUUACCCUCGGGACUGGGAUAGCUGCGGGAAACUGCAGGUAAUACCAGAUGACGUCCCCGGACCAAAGGUGUGAUUCCGCCUGAGGAUAAGCCCGCGUCCUAUUAGCUAGUUGGUGAGGUAAUGGCUCACCAAGGCAAUGAUGGGUACUGGGUGUGAGAGCACGACCCAGCUCACUGGGACUGAGGCACUGCCCAGACACCUACGGGUGGCUGCAGUCGAGAAUCUUCGGCAAUGGGCGCAAGCCUGACCGAGCGACGCCGCGUGUGGGAUGAAGGCCUUCGGGUUGUAAACCGCUGUCAGAGGGGAGGAAUGGGCGGAGGGUAAUCUCUUCGUUUUGACCUAUCCUCAGAGGAAGUACGGGCUAAGUUCGUGCCAGCAGCCGCCGUAA
rnacentral:rRNA from 1 species